AUUGAACGCUGGCGGCAGGCCUAACACAUGCAAGUCGAGCGAGCGGCGGACGGGUGAGUAAUGUAUGGGGACUGCCCGAUAGAGGGGGAUAACUACUGGAAACGGUGGCUAAUACCGCAUACUAUCGGAUAACCCAUAUGGGAUUAGCUAGUAGGUGGGGUAAAGGCUCACCUAGGCGACGAUCUCUAGCUGGUCUGAGAGGAUGAUUAGCCACACUGGGGCUGAGACACGGCCCAGAGCCCUCCGGAGGGAAGAGUGGGGAAUAUUGGAAAAAGGGCGCAAGCCUGAAGGAGCCAAGCCGCGUUGAUGGAAAAGGCCUUAGGGUUGUAAAGUACUUUCAGCGGGGAGGCGUUACCCGCAGAAGAAGCACCGGCUAACUCCGUGCCAGCAGCCGCGGUAAUUC
rnacentral:rRNA from 1 species